CACUAAUUAGGGUUUUGGAUCGAUCAGCUUCCAAAGAGAGAGAAUGGUGAAGACAUCUGAGGCGUCUGAAGCCCGAGAUGAAGAGUCUGAUGAUGGUGUCGUUUCUACAGGAGAGCCUGAGCUCAGGUUUCCUAAACAUCGAAUCAAUGAUUUACCAGAAAAUUGACAGAGAUCUCCUGGGGUCUUAGCUGUUUGGAUGCACAACCCCUCUUCCUAUUAUCUAGGUGCAAAAAUUGAAGAUUCACACUUGGGAAAGAGAGAGGCGUCCAACGGCCUCUAGGAUUCCAGUUAUUUCUUCAGGAAGUUCAUCAAAUCUACACCU